AGAGAAGCGCGCCUCGCGGUCUUCCGGGCCGCUGGGCCGGGAGGUGCCGAGGGGGCGGCGUCCAGCCGCGCCCUCAGGAGCUACCCCGGUUAGGGAGGUGCUGUCCUGGCGUCGGGUGGGGACGGGGAGCGCGUCGAGGGUGCUGCGACUUCUGCCCACCUGGCCCGGCCUCAGUCUCUGAGUUCCUGUUCCUCACAGGAGCUAAUUAUUUAUGACAGCUGCAAGGUGCCCCUCCCCCAGUUACUCAGUGCUUGGCACUCAGCACCCCUUAACUCAGCACUCAGUACCGCACUCAGCCUCUGAGGACCUGGGCAGAGGGAAGCAGGGAGUCUCCUGCGGAAACUCUUGCUCUGCCAAAGGCCUGGACAGCGAAUGAGGAAGACUUACUGCAGAAAUUCAGAGCCUAGCAACCUGGACCAGGGUGGAGGCAGCAGACGAGGGAUGCUUAAACGAAGACUUAAAAUGGAGGAGAGGACCCCUACUUUGCAAAGAAAUUUUGUGGCUGUCUUAUCCGUGAGUCAAGAUUUACAAGAACUCAUCAGAAGAAAUGGGUAGACAUGAAACUGGAAUUAGCUUGAGGAGAAUUACAGGGUAUCGUGGGGAAUUUAAGUCCACGGAUAAAAAUAAUAUCACCCUCCUGAAUAUUUCAACCUUUUACAACCUAUCACCACUUCAACCUUUGGUGUCAGUCUCUGAUUUUAACAAGAUUUUAUCUUAGGACUAAUGAUACAAAUUUCACCCGUCCCUGACUAACUCUCAUUGAAAUAUAGAGAAACAGAUGAUCAAGACUCUGCUAGCAGGAGAAAAAGAGAGAAAAGAGAGAUGAACAAGUCUUGUGUGACCAGAAGCUUAUCAACCUUGUAUGCUGUUGGCUUAGUUUAACAUUUACAGCAGAUGAUAGAUCCCUGAAUUGUGUUCAGAUCACACAGUAAGGUGUCAAAUGACCUCACGAAAGCAAGACGGCACUGAACCGCAAGGUGAGAGAUUGUACAGACAUCAUGUAAAGGUUUGUGUCCCCCUUUGGCCGUCCAGACAUGAAAACUGUUUAUCUGGGUGUGACUCAGAUACCACUCUGGAGUAGGCUGACUUUGUAACUCGGGAGCGCACAGAAUGGCAGGAAGCAAAGCAACAGUCAGAGGAACAACCUGGGCCAACGUGGCACGAGAUCAAAGAGGAGCACAGGACGUGCUGAGCCCAGAGGGGGAAACUAUAGAAAUGCAAAACCUCCUGAGAACCUCUUCGAAAAAAACAGCCACAGAUGUGUCUGUGAUGGGUAUGCUUCCUGGGAGCGCCCUCAGCUGGCUCAGUAACCCUGAUGAUCUGAGACUUAUGCCUCAGUCGCUCAUUUUGGUUGUGAAGAUGAAAACAGCUCUAGAGACCGAUGGUGGUGAUGUAUGCUCAGCAGUAAGAAUGGAUUUAAAGUCACAGAACUAUACACUUGCAAUGGUUAAAAUGGUAAAUUUGAUAUUAGGUAUAUUACCACAAUAAAAAAAAAAUGUCACAACAACAUCUAUCUGUAGCAUACUGAACUAUUUCUGGGAAAAAAUUCUAUGUCAGAGAUUUCGCUCCAAAAUAAUCCAAAGAGAAAGGGAAAGAUGGAGGGGUGGGUGGGGUAUGGAUGAGGCUGGAUGGGUUGGUUGAUCAUUGGUUAAGCUGAGUGGUGGGUAUUUGGGGGCUAAUUAUAUGGUUCUCUCUACUUUUGUAUGUUGUAACAUUUUCAUAAUAAAAA
rnacentral:lncRNA from 1 species